AGAGUUUGAUCAUGGCUCAGAUUGAACGCUGGCGGCAGGCCUAACACAUGCAAGUCGAGCGGUAGCACAGAGAGCUUGCUCUCGGGUGACGAGCGGCGGACGGGUGAGUAAUGUCUGGGAAACUGCCUGAUGGAGGGGGAUAACUACUGGAAACGGUAGCUAAUACCGCAUAAUGUCGCAAGACCAAAGUGGGGGACCUUCGGGCCUCAUGCCAUCAGAUGUGCCCAGAUGGGAUUAGCUAGUAGGUGGGGUAACGGCUCACCUAGGCGACGAUCCCUAGCUGGUCUGAGAGGAUGACCAGCCACACUGGAACUGAGACACGGUCCAGACUCCUACGGGAGGCAGCAGUGGGGAAUAUUGCACAAUGGGCGCAAGCCUGAUGCAGCCAUGCCGCGUGUGUGAAGAAGGCCUUCGGGUUGUAAAGCACUUUCAGCGGGGAGGAAGGCGUUAAGGUUAAUAACCUCAUCGAUUGACGUUACCCGCAGAAGAAGCACCGGCUAACUCCGUGCCAGCAGCCGCGGUAAUACGGAGGGUGCAAGCGUUAAUCGGAAUUACUGGGCGUAAAGCGCACGCAGGCGGUCUGUCAAGUCGGAUGUGAAAUCCCCGGGCUCAACCUGGGAACUGCAUUCGAAACUGGCAGGCUAGAGUCUUGUAGAGGGGGGUAGAAUUCCAGGUGUAGCGGUGAAAUGCGUAGAGAUCUGGAGGAAUACCGGUGGCGAAGGCGGCCCCCUGGACAAAGACUGACGCUCAGGUGCGAAAGCGUGGGGAGCAAACAGGAUUAGAUACCCUGGUAGUCCACGCCGUAAACGAUGUCGAUUUGGAGGUUGUGCCCUUGAGGCGUGGCUUCCGGAGCUAACGCGUUAAAUCGACCGCCUGGGGAGUACGGCCGCAAGGUUAAAACUCAAAUGAAUUGACGGGGGCCCGCACAAGCGGUGGAGCAUGUGGUUUAAUUCGAUGCAACGCGAAGAACCUUACCUGGUCUUGACAUCCACAGAACUU
rnacentral:rRNA from 1 species